CUCCUGGAAACGGGUGGUAAUGCCGGAUGCUCCGGUUGGAUGCAUGUCCUUCCGGGAAAGAUUUCAUCGGUAUGGGAUGGGGUCGCGUCCUAUCAGGUAGUCGGCGGGGUAACGGCCCACCGAGCCUACGACGGGUAGCCGGCCUGAGAGGGCGACCGGCCACAUUGGGACUGAGAUACGGCCCAGACUCCUACGGGAGGCAGCAGUGGGGAAUAUUGCACAAUGGGCGCAAGCCUGAUGCAGCAACGCCGCGUGCGGGAUGACGGCCUUCGGGUUGUAAACCGCUUUUGAUCGGGAGCAAGCCUUCGGGUGAGUGUACCUUUCGAAUAAGCACCGGCUAACUACGUGCCAGCAGCCGCGGUAAUACGUAGGGUGCAAGCGUUAUCCGGAAUUAUUGGGCGUAAAGGGCUCGUAGGCGGUUCGUCGCGUCCGGUGUGAAAGUCCAUCGCUUAACGGUGGAUCCGCGCCGGGUACGGGCGGGCUUGAGUGCGGUAGGGGAGACUGGAAUUCCCGGUGUAACGGUGGAAUGUGUAGAUAUCGGGAAGAACAC
rnacentral:rRNA from 1 species